CUUUGUUACCAGUCCUCAGCCAGAAAAUGCUAUAGUGCAAGCAAGGCCCUGGAUGGGUUUGUAAGAUACAAGCAACCUGUCUGUGAGAAUUAUCUUAUGAAGAUGACCAUGUUUCUUCUAAUGCAGCCCAUUCAGGUUUUUAUGGUACCCAGAUGGAAGACUGUCCAAGGAACUGGGAAAGAUGAAGGAGGUGGUGGACAGAAGAUUCAGUCUGAAAAAUACCCUGCUAGUGAGAAAAUGGGAUUUUGAUACUUUCAAAUUCUGAUAAAACCGUAUUUGGUAAUUUUCUAGUUUUGAAGUACAUUCAUCAUUGUAGCAGAAGGUACCUUGCCAUUACAUGUUAACUUAACAGAAGAUACAAG